CUACAGUACCCAUUUCUGACUUUUGGCGUAAAAUAAUAAAAACCCUCUUCUGAGCCUGCACCACCUGCAUAGUCAUCGUCUUCUUACAAUUAGAGCUUCCACAGAGCAAGCGAGAGAGAGAGAGAGAGAGUGGGGUUGAACUAAGGGCUUGCACUUUUGAGUUGCGGUCGCUGUUGAUCUGGAAAGGAGGACUGAGGUGUAGGUGGGUGUCAAUAAUUUUGUUAUUGGAAAAGAAUAAGCUAGAAGCAUGGAAGAUGACCUUCCUAAAACGUCAGUCAAUCCAUCGUUUGCCGACCAGCUUUUUCUACUGAACUUCAUAAUGGGCAAUUAUUUGGGUCCUGAUGUCACGUUUGAUAACCUCAAAUAUUCAGCAUUUCAAAGGAUAACUGAAGGUUCACCUCCGUAUAUGUCAAGUUAUUUGGGGCCUUCAUAUGUUAGUGUGUCUCUUUUGGAGGGUUUAUAUUACUAUCUCUUGAGAAAUGUUCACCCUAGCCUCAUUUUGAGACCAGAAAUAUUGCAUAAGUAUUUGAAGGGCAGCCUACCUUUGCCAAGUUCAGGGCUGACGAAAGACAGUUGGCAGUUCACAAAUUUUUUCCCUUUGGAUCUUCAUGAACAGAUAUGGUACCCUGAAAGCUUCAGAAUUGUUAAGGGGAUUCUUUUUAUUGAUGAUCCUGUUACAUCAUGUAUGAAAGAGGACGAUCUGGAAAAGUUCAAAUCUUUAUCUGGUAUAAAUAACAUGAAAAUUGAUAUAGAUGAAGCCAUACGAUAUCAACACGAGUACCUGGAUAAUGGGGAAAGUAAGACGAAUUGCUUGAAUGAUGAUUGCAAUUUCACAAAGACAGAAUUUUUUUCCAAUGGAAAUGGAAAUUGGUCGGAAAGAUUUCAGCAAAAAUAUAAGAGAAGGUGCCUCUCUCAUUCUCCAUCAAAGCCAGCAUUUCCCCAAGUUGUUACUACAUCAAAACAUUUAAGCAAAUAUGGAGCUUCAUGGAUGACCUGCCAACCAGAUGGACCUGUGUUCAUGCCCCUUAUCUCUGUUCCUAAUUUGGAAGAAUGUACUUCAGAUUCUUCUGUUGUUUUGUCUGGGACUGCCAGGAAAGGGGUAGUUGGGCCACCUGUUGGUGUUGUGGACAUUGGUGUUAGCAAGGCUGCAUAUUACUUCCGGGUUGCUCUACCAGGGGUCAGGAAGGAUUUUUGAUACUUGUCUCUCAAUGCAUCAUCGAGUGGAACAGAGUUUAUAUGCAGUUAAUGUUCCCAUUGCUGCCAAGAUAUAGGGCGGAUGUAUAUUCUAGGUAGCAUUUUUUUAAUGAUUCUCACUCCUGAGAAGGUGAACACAAGAAAGCCUCUUGGAAGCUGUAUCUUAUCCCACCUCCCCGCAUUCUAGGUCAAUUCAAUUGUGAGAUUGAAUCUAAUGGCAAGAUUCAUCUCCAAGGCGUCACAAGUGGUGGAAAUCCCAUAAGGAAACGUUCGCGUG